AGGGUUCGAUUAUGGCUCAGGAUGAACGCUGGCGGCGUGCCUAACACAUGCAAGUCGAACGAAGCGCCUUUUGAGAUUCUUCGGAUGAUUGAUUGGUGACUGAGUGGCGGACGGGUGAGUAACGCGUGGGUAACCUGCCCUGUACAGGGGGAUAACAGCUGGAAACGGCUGCUAAUACCGCAUAAGCGCACGAGGAGACAUCUCCUAGUGUGAAAAACUCCGGUGGUACAGGAUGGGCCCGCGUCUGAUUAGCUGGUUGGCAGGGUAACGGCCUACCAAGGCAACGAUCAGUAGCCGGUCUGAGAGGAUGAACGGCCACAUUGGAACUGAGACACGGUCCAA
rnacentral:rRNA from 1 species